rnacentral:misc_RNA from 1 species
CAACCCUCAAGCCCUGCUUGGUGUUGGGGCCCUACGCACCGCCGUAGGCCCUGAAAGGUAGUGGCGGGCUCGCUAAAAUCCUGAGCGCAGUAGCACAUCUCGCUUGUGGCAUUUGGCGGGCGCCAGCCGUUAAACCCCCAAAACUUUUACCAGU